rnacentral:rRNA from 1 species
AACGAACGCUGGCGGCAUGCCUAACACAUGCAAGUCGAACGAGACCUUCGGGUCUAGUGGCGCACGGGUGCGUAACGCGUGGGAACCUGCCCUUAGGUUCGGAAUAACUCCCCGAAAGGGGUGCUAAUACCGGAUAAUGUCUUCGGACCAAAGAUUUAUCGCCUUUGGAUGGGCCGGCGUUGGUUUAGCUAGUUGGUAGGGUAAAAGCCUACCAAGGCGACGAUCCAUAGCUGGUCUGAGAGGAUGAUCAGCCACACUGGGACUGAGACACGGCCCAGACUACUACGGGAGGCAGCAGUGGGGAAUAUAGGACAAUGGGCGAAAGCCUGAUCCAGCAAUGCCGCGUGAGUGAUGAAGGCCUUAGGGUUGUAAAGCUCUUUUACCCGGGAUGAUAAUGACAGUACCGGGAGAAUAAGCUCCGGCUAACUCCGUG